GAUGAACGCUGGCGGCGUGCCUAAUACAUGCAAGUCGAGCGAAUGGAUUAAGAGCUUGCUCUUAUGAAGUUAGCGGCGGACGGGUGAGUAACACGUGGGUAACCUGCCCAUAAGACUGGGAUAACGCCGGGAAACCGGGGCUAAUACCGGAUAAAAUUUUGAACCGCAUGGUUCGAAAUUGAAAGGCGGCUUCGGAUGUCACUCAUGGAUGGACCCGCGUCGCAUUAGCUAGUUGGUGGGGUAACGGCUCACCAAGGCAACGAGGCGUAGCCGACCUGAGAGGGUGAUCGGCCACACUGGGACUGAGACACGGCCCAGACUCCUACGGGAGGCAGCAGUAGGGAAUCUUCCGCAAUGGACGAAAGUCUGACGGAGCAACGCCGCGUGAGUGAUGAAGGCUUUCGGGUCGUAAAACUCUGUUAUUAGGGAAGAACAAGUGCUAGUUGAAUAAGCUGACACCUUGACGGUACCUAACCAGAAAGCCACGGCUAACUACGUGCCAGCAGCCGCGGUAA
rnacentral:rRNA from 1 species